rnacentral:piRNA from 1 species
CGUAACGUACUCUCAACACAUCUCCCCCUUUUCUCUAGAGGUUUAGCCUGUCUGGCGGCUUUACCACGCGUCCACUCCUGGUCUUUACUGGUUCCGGUGAUCUCUGGAAUGUCCUCGGUUCACUGUCACAAGUAGUGUUGUCCCCAGUAGAUGUGAAGCACUGACUCAUCUCAGGAGACUCCAUCUCUUCAUCUUCCAUGUCAAUCUUUUCACCCUGUGGGUUUGGUAGUAGGUGGAAUCUAUUUCUUCUUAAAAUUCCUUUUGGAGAGUUGACUAUAUAAGAUCUUGGACUUCCAGCGUCUUCAAGUACCACACCGGGAACUCUCAAGUCUUUCACCCAUACUCUAGUUCCUUUAUUCAGAUGGGGCAAUUCUCUUGCACGAUGAUGUAUAUCAAAAUGGGUUUUCUUUUUGUGCCGUUGAUCUUUUUCUCUCAUUUCUAGAUUUUCAAGAUCAGGUAUUCUUGAUUGGAGUUGAACUGGAGAUGUUGGCACAGUUGUUCUGAGUUUCCUGUUCAUGCAUAGUUCAGCAGGGCUGUACCCAUUUUCCAAUGGAGCGGUUCGAUAACCAAGAAGAGAAAGAUAUGGAUCUCUUCCUUUCUUCAACUGGUUUUUGAUAUUCUUCACCAUCGAUUCGAUGAAGCCAUUGCUUUGAGGAAAUCUGGGACUAGAUGUUAUGUGGUGGAAACCAUAUUCUUUUGCAAACUUUUUGAAUUCUAACCCAAACUGUGGUCCGUUAUCUGAUCUAACCUCUUCGGGUAUUCCAUGGCGAGCAAAAAUUGACUUGCAAUGUAGAAUUGUUGAAUGUGUUGUUUGAUCCUCCAGCAAUGCCAACUCUGGGAAUCUAGAGUAAUAGUCUGCAAUUAGAAGAUAGUAUUUGCCCUUUAAGUAAAAAUGGUCGAUUCCUACUUUCUCCCAUGGCCUGCUUGGGAAAUCAGAAACAAUUAAUGGCUGCUGGGGAUUAGAUCUUUCUUCAAUACAAUUUGGGCAGUUCCUCACAAGUUCUCCAAUUUCUUGACUGAUUCUGGGCCACCACACAGAUGAUCUGGCACGGCCUCUACAUUUUUCGAUGCCAAGAUGACCUUCAUGGAGGCUGUUUAGAACCUUUGAUCUGAGGGACUUAGGAAUAUAAAUCCUGGAAUUUCUCAUUAGAAGACCAUCUAUGACAGACAUUUCAUAUCUGAGACACCAAAAGGCUUUUGCUUCUGCAGAAAGCUCAUUCUUUGUAGGCCAGCCCUUUUCACAAUAGUCUUUUAUUUCUCUGCACUCUCUCUCUUCAUUUUGAUAUUGCCAGAUUUCUUUCAUAUUUUCAUCCUUGAAUGGAGGACAUGAAGUGAUCUGUUGAACAAAACUACAGAUUUCAUUCUCCAGAUCUUUCUCAUGCGAUAUCUUAAUUGGGCUUCUGGACAAAGCAUCAGCAACAACAAUGUCCUUGCCUGGUGUGUGAUAAAUGCUAUAUGAGUAGCGCAUCAUCCGAAGUCGUAGUCGCUGUAUGCGUGGUGUCAUUUCAUCUAGAUUUUUGGUUGAAAAUAUUGGAAUGAGAGGUUUAUGGUCAGUUUCAAUGGAAAAUGUAUUUCCAUCAGAUAGUCCUGAAAUCUUUCACAGGCCCAAACUAUUGCUAGAGAUUCUUUCUCAAUUUGAGCCCAUCUCUUUUCAGUUUCGGACAUAGUCCUGGAGGCAUAUGCAACUGCUUUUUGGUAUCCAUCUUCAGAUUUUUGUAAAAGCACUGCUCCUAGUCCAUAUGAAGAGGCAUCUGCAGACACUGUAGUUGGUAGAUUGGGGUCAAAAAGUGUUAGUGCUGGAGAAGUUGAAAGAAGUUUCUUCACUUUUUCAAAUGCUUCCUCCUGAGCACUAUCCCAUCUCCAAUCAUUUCUCUUUACUAGGAGUUGAUUAAGUGGGUAGAGGAUAGUUGAAAGGUCUGGUAUAAAUUUACCUGUGAAGUUCACCAUUCCCAGGAAUCUGCGCACUUCAGAAAUGCUUGAAGGUGAUGGAAACUCCCUGAUGGCCUGGACUUUGUUUGGAUCAGGUAGCACUCCUCUUUCUGUAAUCAGGUGACCAAGAAAUUUGAUUUCCUUCACUGAGAAGAUGCAUUUCUCUUUAUUCAGGGUCAGUCCUGAAUCUUGAAGCUUCCUAAGGACGCAUCUUAACCUUUCAUCAUGUUCUUCUUGUGUAGCUCCCCAAAUCACAAUGUCGUCCAUGUGACAAUUUACCCCAGAUUGGCUCUCCAGUAGAUUGCUCAUCUUUCUCUGGAAUACCUCAGGUGCAGAAGAAAUUCCGAAGGGUAGCCGUUUGAAUCUGUAUCUGCCAAAUGGGGUCAGGAAGGUUGUAAGGCUAGAUGAUUCCUCUGACAGGGGUAUCUGCCAAAACCCACUGUUGGCAUCCAGUUUUGAAAACAAUUUAGCUCCUCCCAUUUGUGCCAAGGUAUAUUCCACUGAUGGAAUUGGAUAAUGUUCUCUUUUAACAAACUUGUUUAGAGCUGUCAGAUCUACACAAAUCCUUAGAUCAUUAGAAGACGGUUUGGGCACAAUGACCAUUGGAGCACACCAAUCCGUUGGUUGCUCAACUUUUUCAAUUACUCCUUUUUCAACCAUUUGAUCAAGUUGUUCUUUUGUUUUAUUCAAAAGUGGAAUGGGUAUUCUUCUGGGAGUAUAUAUAGCAUGAGGCUGUGAUUCAUCCUUCAAUUUAAUUGUGUAGCUCCCUUGGAGUGUUCCGAGUCCUGUGAAAAGCUUUGGAUAUUCUUCAAAAGGAUUAAGCGAAUUCCUUUUCUCAAUUGACUGAAGUCUUUUGAUUAGGUUUAGAGAUUCACAGGCUUUUCCGCUCAAGAGUGGUUGCAUUAGUUGAGGAACAACAAAUAUUUCUCCAGGGAUGCUUCUCCCAUCUUUUUCUAUUAAAGCUGUGAAUUUUCCUAUUACAUGCAAUUUAACCUGUCUAGGUCCUAAAAGUUGAAUAUCAGGUUUGCAUAACUUCUUGUGAGCAAAAUUUUUAAAAUAAAUCUCUUGGGGUAUUAUAUUUACAUCCGCUCCUGUAUCCAUUUUAAAAAGUAUUUUAAUCUUAUCUACUUUUACAUAAACCUUCCAAUCAUUUGAGUUUUGUCCAUUCUCAUAGAUAUUACCAACAAAAUGGUAGUCAUCACCUUGGGUGACUUGUCCUACUGUCUUAUUGUAGCACACCUUUGCAAAAUGUCCUACCUUUUUACAUUUAUGGCAUUUAACUUCUUUUGCAGGGCAGUCUUUAUAUGGAUGGAAUUUUGAAGCACCACAUCUUAUACAUCCAGAUUUUUCAGGCUUGCUCCACUUCUGAAAUUUACUUUUCUUUGAAGCGUCUCCUUUCCCAUUUGUAGAAUUGAACCUUCUUGGUGGUAACUUUUUUUCAUAGACUUGGUCUACAUUGGCAGCCUGUGUUGUUGUUGAUCGAAGAAUAGUCUGUUGUUGCUUCACACAUUCUGUCUGGCAAGCAGCUUGGAUAGCCCUUUCCAAGGUCAAGUUAGGCUCUAGUUGCAACUUCUCUGAAAGUUGUAGAUUUUUUACUCCUACAACUAUUCUAUCUCUAAUCAUUUCUUCUUUCAGAGAUCCAUAGUUACAAUUUUCGGCCAUUUUGUGAAGCACUCUUAUGUAUUCCUCGACAGCUUCUCCAUCCUGCUGAUAUCUACGAUUAAAUUGUGCUCUUUCAAAGAUGACAUUUCGUUUACCUAUAAAGUGCUCUUCAAAUUUCUUAACAACUGUUUCAUAAUUGUUUAUUUCUAUUUCAGUUAAAUUGAAUGAAAUUAGAGCAUCUUCGGCUUUUUCACCUAAUAUGUAAAUUAGAGCAUUUACUUGCUCUUCCUCCUUUUUAGAUUUUAACUCUGACGCUUUUCUAAAGCGUUCAAAUCUUUUAAUCCAAUUUGGCCAUUCAUUUGGAUUAUUAAAAUUAAAUUGUUCUGGAGGAUUUAUAUUUUGCAUUAUUUUUUUUUUCGUUGUUUAUGCAAAAAUAAUUCUUUUUGUUUUUACUAGUAAUUAGAUUAGGCUUAGGGCACUAUCGCCAAUUCGCUGCCACCAUGUAUUGUGUAUUGCCUUGUUAUAAAUAAGAAGAUACUCUUACCUUAAGGAUUAUAUCUUUAAUCUUAUUUAUUUAUCUAUUUACAAGGUAAUAUUUAAAACUUAGAACAAUUACAGCUAUGGCGGAACUUUCACCAGCCUAAGGUAAACAACAACAGUCAAUCUGAUGAUGAUCGUAACGUACUCUCAACACACUAUCAUCCAUAUGAACAUGAUAGCAACACUUCUCUCUAUGAUGCACAAUUUUAACCCUGCUUAGAGUUGAGACUCUCUUUCACACACAUAAAGCUUUGUUAAGACCACCGGUCUUAUAGAGUUGAGUCUCAAAUUUUCAGCAAUUGUUCAUGAGACCUAAAAGUAGCAAGAUAUCCAAAAAUUCAGGUUUAUAUCGCUAACCUCUUUGGAAUCACAAGUAAAAACAUAUCAAUUUAAGAAAUUUGAAUUAAAUGCAUUAUAAACUCACUCAAUUUAUACUUUUUCUGAUUUGCACAUGUAUAGACAUGUGGUGCACUUACAGUAAAGGGAGUCGCCUACCUCUACAAACCAAGUGUACUAGGAAUAAGCAAAAA